rnacentral:rRNA from 1 species
AUUGAACGCUGGCGGCAUGCUUUACACAUGCAAGUCGAACGGCAGCGCGGGCUUCGGCCUGGCGGCGAGUGGCGAACGGGUGAGUAAUGCAUCGGAACGUGCCCAGUAGUGGGGGAUAGCCCGGCGAAAGCCGGAUUAAUACCGCAUACGACCUGAGGGUGAAAGCGGGGGACCGAAAGGCCUCGCGCUAUUGGAGCGGCCGAUGUCGGAUUAGCUAGUUGGUGGGGUAAAGGCUUACCAAGGCGACGAUCCGUAGCUGGUCUGAGAGGACGACCAGCCACACUGCGACUGAGACACGGCCCAGACUCCUACGGGAGGCAGCAGUGGGGAAUUUUGGACAAUGGGGGCAACCCUGAUCCAGCCAUGCCGCGUGCGGGAAGAAGGCCUUCGGGUUGUAAACCGCUUUUGUUCGGGAAGAAAUCCUCUGGGCUAAUACCCCGGGGGGAUGACGGUACCGGAAGAAUAAGCACCGGCUAACUACGUG